rnacentral:rRNA from 1 species
CCUACGGGAGGCAGCAGUAGGGAAUAUUGCUCAAUGGGGGAAACCCUGAAGCAGCAACGCCGCGUGGAGGAUGAAUGUUCUAGGAUUGUAAACCCCUUUUGUGAGAGAAGAUAAUGACGGUAUCUCACGAAUAAGCACCGGCUAACUCCGGGCCAGCAGCCGCGGUAAUCCGGAGGGUGCAAGCGGUACUCGGAAUCACGGGGCGUAAAGAGUGCGCAGGCGGGCUUGUAAGUCAGGUGUGAAAUCCUGUAGCUUAACUCUAGAACUGCAUUUGAAACUAGGAGUCUAGAGUGUGGGAGAGGUAGGUGGAAUGCGUGGUGUAGGGGUAAAAUCCGUAGAUAUCAAGAGGAAUACUCAUUGCGAAGGCGACCUACUGGAACAUUACUGACGCUCAUGCACGAAAGCGUGGGGAUCGAACAGGAUUAGAUACCCGAGUAGUC